rnacentral:other from 1 species
GCGGGGCUGCCCGGCACGAGCCACAGAAAAUCCCUGAGGCUAUAAGCAAUCCAAGGGAGCUGUCCCUGCUCUGGUCCACCAGUCCGGCUGUGGGACCGGAGUAUACGGCGCCCACCUGACGUUUUAGGCGUCAGAGGAUUUCCCGGCACCGACCCAUGGUGGUCCCGUC